rnacentral:rRNA from 1 species
UACGUAGGGGGCAAGCGUUGUCCGGAAUCAUUGGGCGUAAAGCGCGUGUAGGCGGCUUGGUAAGUCCGUUCUGAAAGCCCGGGGCUCAACCCCGGGAGGCGGAUGGAUACUGUCAAGCUUGAGUCCGGAAGAGGCGAGUGGAAUUCCCGGUGUAGCGGUGAAAUGCGCAGAUAUCGGGAGGAACACCAAUGGCGAAGGCAGCUCGCUGGGACGUGACUGACGCUGAGACGCGAAAGCGUGGGGAGCGAACAGG